rnacentral:misc_RNA from 1 species
AAGUCGUAACAAGGUAACCGUAGGUGAACCUGCGGUUGGAUCAUUAAAAAAUUUAAAAAAAAAGAUUUUUUUUUUAAUUUAACUUUUUGGUUAUUUUAAAAAAAAAGUUUUUUUUAACAUUUUUGUGCACUGUAAUUUUUUCUCUAGUGGUUAUAAAAGGUUUUAAAAAAAAUUUUAAUUUUUUUUUUACUGGAGUUAUUUUUAUAAUAACUUUACCCACUAGAAAAUUUUUAACUUUAUUUUUUUAUAUAAUUGCCUUUAAAAAUUUUAUUAAAAAAGUUUAACUUUAAAAAAAUAACUUUUGACAACGGAUCUCUAGGCUCUC